rnacentral:rRNA from 1 species
UACGUAGGUGACAAGCGUUGUCCGGAUUUACCGGGCGUAAAGAGCGCGCAGGCGGUCGAUCAAGUCGAGUGUGAAAGCCCCCGGCUCAACUGGGGAGGGUCAUUCGAUACUGAUCGACUCGAAGGCAGGAGAGGGUAGUGGAAUUCCCGGUGUAGUGGUGAAAUGCGUAGAUAUCGGGAGGAACACCAGUGGCGAAGGCGACUACCUGGCCUGUUCUUGACGCUGAGGCGCGAAAGCUAGGGGAGCAAACGGG